CUACUGCUUCCCCUUCUUCAUCCAACCAGAAGCCCUGCUUGCGCCUUCCUGUGGAGCCAGAGGGAGAAGAGGUGAAGCAGAAGUAUAACGUGCAUCCAGAGAAGUGCAAAGACUUGGGCAUUUUGCAAAGUGAAUAUAACCAGCACCAGGAUCAAGAAGCACCAUAAUCAGGAUCUGGAAGUCCCCCCAAAUAUCAGAGGCAAAGACUUCUGAAGGCCAGUGCUCCAACUUGAGAAAGCUGUGGAGGCUGUGGUUCAGGCCCAGGGGAUGAGCGUGGACGAAGUAGAAUAGUAUGCUGACUAGACCAGUGCUUCUCAAACUGCAGUGUGCCACUGAAUGACCCAGGCGUCUGGUUUAAAGGCAGGUUCUGAUUCAGCAAGCUCGGAAGGGGAUGCUGCGGUUCUACAUUUCUGUCAAGCUCCUACACUUGGUUAGCAAGGCCUUGAACCCAGAGAUUCUCAAUAAUGCUGUACAUAAGAAUCACAUGGGAGGCUUUUAAAAACACUGCUGCCCAGGUCCCACCCCAGAACAAUUCCGUUGCAAUCUCUGGGGUGGGGCUCAGCAUCCAUAGGUUUUAAAAGCUCCCCUGGUGAUUCCAGUGUGCAACCAGAAACAGUGGGUGCUGGUUCCCUGGAGUACCCCCAGUGCCUGAGCUGAGGUGGGAGGAAGUGAGGUGUGGGGUCAGGUCUGGUGUCUGAGCAAACAAUCCAGUAUGACAAAAGGCAAGAGGUUUCUUAGUCAGGAAUGGACCAUUUGCCCCUUAGAGGAGGUGAAGGGAGGGAUUUCUGAAGCAAUUCUUUGGCGUGGGGCUAUCUGCUAACCCAGGUAACAUCCUCCCAGGACCAAGAACAGACCUGUGCCUUCACCUUAUCAAGCAAGUCAGAGCCCCCCCAGAGCUGCUCCGGGGCUGGGCUCACAUGCCCCCAAGCAGUUCAAACAUUUUCAAAACCUUACUAGGGCAGUGGGAGGAGGUGCUGCCAGCUGCUCCCACACCCUGCCCCCUCUGCCCUGCUAGAGAAAGAGCCAGAUGAGUCCAGAGAUUACAAGCCCUGGAUCAACAUGGACUAUUCAGGAUGAAGCACCAUAGUGCUGGGUUCUGACGCCCUCUGGUGGACACCUAGAGUUGAAGUUGGUAACCAACCAACAGACUACGGCGUCCAGGUCACUUCUCCAGGCUUUACUCCCAUCCACAGUCUGUUUGCCUGUGUUUACUUUUUAAGUCCUCAGGCUGUGCACGUGGCUACUAAUUCUGACAGGGGAAAGCUUGGACAUAGGUGAGGCAAUUAAAAGGCUUCCCAAUUCUAGUGGCUGCAAUUCCUGCAAGCAUACUGAAGAAUUCUGGCUGGCACUUGUAGCUACGAGAUUCAGUUGUAUAAUGUUUUCUUUGGUAAUUGCUUAGUAGAAAGCCUGUAAAAUAAAACCCUUACCAAUUAUGCCUUUUACUAUAGAGCAGCAGUGUCCACUAACCAUUAGCUAUUGAGCACUCAAAGUAGGGGUAGCCCAAAUUGUGAUGUGAUAAGCACAAUGGAUUUUGAAGACUCAGUAUGGAAAAAGGAAUAUAAAAUAUC